rnacentral:misc_RNA from 1 species
ACCGAAGUCUGUAACCGCCUCCGGGCGUGACGGGCGGCUGGUAUCCUCCUUCUGAGGGGUGUAUGUUGCAGCUUGGGCCGUUCCUUAUGGGUCGCGAAUCCCCAAUCCUGCGGCGGACCAUCCCUUGGGCAACUCAGUGGGGGCAAUUGGAUGGCUCGUAGGCACUUUCGGCGGCUUCGGCCCUGGAGGUGGCUCGGGCCGGGUGUUGGGCUUCGGUCCACGUCCCGACCUUUUUAACUAGCUCUGAUACCUCUUCAUUGAGGGUUGCCGGGGGAGGCUUUUCGCUCUUCGGGGCGGAGGGCCUACCCGGGAAAGAUAGUUACCUGGUUGAUUCUGCCAUUAGUCAUAUGCUUGUCUCAA